ensembl:lncRNA
GAAUAUAAUUCACGUUUCGAUACUAAAACAGCGGUCACGAGAAAGGGAAUAAGACUCUGCAAGCGGGAUUGUUGCUUCCAACCACAGCGACAGAAACCCACCGGGACUUCGCUGCUGCAGGGAUUUAAUUCGAAUGACGGAAGGAUCGUUCACGGCUCAAGAGGUCCACGAAGCCUCAAGUAGAAACUCUGGAAAACGUUUUGGAUUAACGUCUCCGAUGCUCGUCUGUGUUCGCGUGAAGUGAUGCAGCCCCUGCAGACAUCCAACUAUGCUGCUUGAUUGCUGCCCGAGCCACUUAACUGUAGCUGACCACCGGCAGGCCCAGCUGUGUGGCUGCAGCCAUUCCAGCGCCCUGCUGCAGCC